GGGCGCUUAGCUCAGUGGAAGAGCGCAUCCUUCACACGGAUGAGGCCGCAGGUUCGAGCCCUGCAGCGCCCACCA
rnacentral:tRNA from 1 species